rnacentral:rRNA from 1 species
GAUGAACGCUGGCGGCGUGCCUAAUACAUGCAAGUCGAACGAAACUUCUUUAUCACCGAGUGCUUGCACUCACCGAUAAAGAGUUGAGUGGCGAACGGGUGAGUAACACGUGGGCAACCUGCCCAAAAGAGGGGGAUAACACUUGGAAACAGGUGCUAAUACCGCAUAACCAUAGUUACCGCAUGGUAACUAUGUAAAAGGUGGCUAUACUACCGCUUUUGGAUGGGCCCGCGGCGCAUUAGCUAGUUGGUAGGGUAAAGGCUUACCAAGGCAAUGAUGCGUAGCCGAAUUGAGAGGUUGAUCGGCCACAUUGGGACUGAGACACGGCCCAAACUCCUACGGGAGGCAGCAGUAGGGAAUCUUCCACAAUGGGCGAAAGCCUGAUGGAGCAACGCCGCGUGGGUGAAGAAGGUCUUCGGAUCGUAAAACCCUGUUGUUAGAGAAGAAAGUGCGUGAGAGUAACUGUUCACGUUUCGACGGUAUCCAACCGGAAAGCCACGGCUAACUACGUG